rnacentral:rRNA from 1 species
AUUGAACGCUGGCGGCAUGCCUUACACAUGCAAGUCGAACGGUAACAGGUUAAGCUGACGAGUGGCGAACGGGUGAGUAAUAUAUCGGAACGUGCCCAGUCGUGGGGGAUAACUGCUCGAAAGAGCAGCUAAUACCGCAUACGACCUGAGGGUGAAAGCGGGGGAUCGCAAGACCUCGCGCGAUUGGAGCGGCCGAUAUCAGAUUAGGUAGGUGGUGGGGUAAAGGCCUACCAAGCCUACGAUCUGUAGCUGGUCUGGAAGGACGACCAGCCACACUGGGACUGAGACACGGCCCAGACUCCUACGGGAGGCAGCAGUGGGGAAUGUUGGACAAUGGACGCAAGUCUGAUCCAGCCAUGCCGCGUGCGGGAAGAAGGCCUUCGGGUUGUAAACCGCUUUUGUCAGGGAAGAAAAGGUUCUGGUUAAUACCUGGGACUCAUGACGGUACCUGAAGAAUAAGCACCGGCUAACUACGUGCCAGCAGCCGCCGUAACAC